GAGUUUGAUCAUGGCUCAGGACGAACGCUGGCGGCGUGCCUAAUACAUGCAAGUAGAACGCUGAAGAGAGGAGCUUGCUCUUCUUGGAUGAGUUGCGAACGGGUGAGUAACGCGUAGGUAACCUGCCUUGUAGCGGGGGAUAACUAUUGGAAACGAUAGCUAAUACCGCAUAACAAUAGGUGACACAUGUCAUUUAUUUGAAAGGGGCAAUUGCUCCACUACAAGAUGGACCUGCGUUGUAUUAGCUAGUAGGUGAGGUAACGGCUCACCUAGGCGACGAUACAUAGCCGACCUGAGAGGGUGAUUGGCCACACUGGGACUGAGACACGGCCCAGACUCCUACGGGAGGCAGCAGUAGGGAAUCUUCGGCAAUGGGGGCAACCCUGACCGAGCAACGCCGCGUGAGUGAAGAAGGUUUUCGGAUCGUAAAGCUCUGUUGUAAGUCAAGAACGAGUGUGAGAGUGGAAAGUUCACACUGUGACGGUAGCUUACCAGAAAGGGACGGCUAACUACGUGCCAGCAGCCGCGGUAAUACGUAGGUCCCGAGCGUUGUCCGGAUUUAUUGGGCGUAAAGCGAGCGCAGGCGGUUUGAUAAGUCUGAAGUUAAAGGCUGUGGCUCAACCAUAGUUCGCUUUGGAAACUGUCAAACUUGAGUGCAGAAGGGGAGAGUGGAAUUCCAUGUGUAGCGGUGAAAUGCGUAGAUAUAUGGAGGAACACCGGUGGCGAAAGCGGCUCUCUGGUCUGUAACUGACGCUGAGGCUCGAAAGCGUGGGGAGCGAACAGGAUUAGAUACCCUGGUAGUCCACGCCGUAAACGAUGAGUGCUAGGUGUUGGAUCCUUUCCGGGAUUCAGUGCCGCAGCUAACGCAUUAAGCACUCCGCCUGGGGAGUACGACCGCAAGGUUGAAACUCAAAGGAAUUGACGGGGGCCCGCACAAGCGGUGGAGCAUGUGGUUUAAUUCGAAGCAACGCGAAGAACCUUACCAGGUCUUGACAUCCCGAUGCUAUUUCUAGAGAUAGAAAGUUACUUCGGUACAUCGGUGACAGGUGGUGCAUGGUUGUCGUCCGCUCGUGUCGUGAGAUGUUGGGUUAAGUCCCGCAACGAGCGCAACCCCUAUUGUUAGUUGCCAUCAUUCAGUUGGGCACUCUAGCGAGACUGCCGGUAAUAAACCGGAGGAAGGUGGGGAUGACGUCAAAUCAUCAUGCCCCUUAUGACCUGGGCUACACACGUGCUACAAUGGUUGGUACAACGAGUUGCGAGUCGGUGACGGCAAGCUAAUCUCUUAAAGCCAAUCUCAGUUCGGAUUGUAGGCUGCAACUCGCCUACAUGAAGUCGGAAUCGCUAGUAAUCGCGGAUCAGCACGCCGCGGUGAAUACGUUCCCGGGCCUUGCACACACCGCCCGUC
rnacentral:rRNA from 1 species